rnacentral:lncRNA from 1 species
GUUGCGCGGAAGCGUGUGAAAGAGUAAAAUUAUUGUACUAAAAAAUCACACUAAGUUCAAUUCCCAGGAAAGAGAGGUGGAUCACGAGGAUCACUUAAGUACCAAGUCUUUCCUAGCCAGAAUAUCCCUCUAUCGUAAUUUAAUAGCACAAUAAAUCACUACAAUCAAAUUCACAAAAUAUGAACAAUAAAUAGUAAAGAACACCAGAAUUUUAACGAGGUUCGGCAAAUCUUGCCUACGUCCUCGGGCACUACCAAAUAUAUUUCACUCCAAAAAUACAAGUGAAACUUUACAAAUAGGGAGAGAGAACAAUGCCUUAAGUAGAGAAUGGCAAAUGUGGGAUGAUGAGAAUGAGCAAUGGUUAGCCUAUUUAUAGUUGAGAUUCAAGGGCCACCUUGCAAAGUCACUAUUCACUUAGGGACCAAAAAUUGCUAUUUUCCCAUGCCCAACACUAAAUAAAUAUUUGGUGCCCAUAACUUUGACCUUUCCAAAGUAUGGGUAGGUAUGGGAAAGGUAUGGGCAAGGUAUGGGGUAUAUUCUAAUAAUCUCCACCUUGAAGAUUUGAUUAGGAUAAUCUUAUCUUCACACAAUUCUUUCUGCUUUUGACAACAAUACUUGAUAGUGCCUUCUUCAACUGUUAAACUUGCAGGAUAUUAAUCAAGUUCAAACAAUGUUCGAACUUGGUUGAUGUUACCACCUUGGUCAUCAUAUCUGCGGGAUUAUCUGCAGUCUUGAUCUUCUGAAGACAAAUUUUCCCCUCUUCAAUAAUUUCCCGCACAAAAUGGAAUCGUACGUCGAUAUGUUUUGUACGUGCAUGAUAGACUUGAUUCUUUGCUAAAUGAAUAGCACUUUGACUAUCACAAUACACGUUAAUAUGCUCCUGAACCAACCCCAAGGUUUUAGCCAUACCUUGUAACCAAAUAGCCUCCUUUACAGCCUCUGUUACAGCCAUGUACUCGGCUUCUGUGGUUGACAACGCAACUGUAGACUGUAGUGUAGACUUCCAACUUAUUGGUCCUCCAGCAAGUGUAAACACAUAACCGGUGGUUGAUCUUCGCUUGUCCAAAUCACCGGCAUAGUCAGAAUCAACGUACCCAAUAACACCUUUACCAAGUGUAUUAUCCUGCUUGAACAGUAAUCCAACAUCUACGGUCUUCUGAAUAUACCGUAGAAUCCAUUUCACAGCUUGCCAAUGUCCUUUUCCAGGAUUAUGCAUAUACCUGCUCACUAUACUAACUGCCUGUGAAAUGUCGGGUCUUGUACACACCAUUGCAUACAUCAAGCUACCCACUGCAUUAGAAUACGGAACUUGCAACAUGUAUUCUCGUUCCGUAUUCGUCGAAGGAGAUAGUUGUGCAGAAAGCUUGAAAUGAGAAGCCAACGGGGUACUUACAGGUUUGGUCUGCUCGUUCAUGCCAAACUGCUGUAGUACUUUCUUCAAAUACUUCUUCUGAGACAAGCUAACUCUGCCAUGAGCUCUAUCUCUACAUAUUUCCAUGCCAAGAAUCUUCUUAGCUUCACCUAGAUCUUUCAUCUCAAACUCGAGAUUGAGUUGAGUCUUCAAUCUCUCAAUCUCAACUUUGCUCUUAGAUGCUAUCAGCAUAUCAUCAACAUAUAAGAGCAAGUAUAUGAAAGUUCCUUCUUGUAGCUUCUGAAAAUAUACGCAAUGAUCAAAUUUACUUCUUGUGUACCUUUGCCCUUUCAUGAACUGAUCAAAUCGCUUGUACCACUGCCUCGGAGAUUGUUUCAAUCCAUAAAGCGACUUUGUCAGUUUGCAAACCCAAUUUUCUUUAUCAGCAACAUUGAAUCCAUCAGGCUGAGUCAUAUAGAUUUCCUCUUCCAAAUCACCGUGUAAAAAUGCUGUCUUCACAUCAAGCUGAACUAGUUCAAGAUCAUAUUGCGCAACCAAGGCUAGCAAAAUCCGAAUAGACGAAUGCUUCACAACUGGAGAAAACACUUCAUUGUAGUCUAUUCCUUCUUUCUGAGCGUAACCCUUUGCUACCAAUCUAGCCUUGUAUCGAAUUUCAUUUUUACCAGGAAAUCCUUCCUUCUUUGCAUAUACCCAUUUGCAUCCAAUUGCCUUCUUUCCCUUGGGCAGUCUCACCAACUCCCAAGUCCUAUUUUUAUGAAGAGACUGCAUUUCUUCAUUCAUAGCUUGCUUCCACUUUACACCAUCAGAGUUACUUAUUGCUUCUGUGUAAGUGGAAGGAACAUCAUCAUCUGCAAUUGGAAGUGCAUAGGCCACCAUAUCGUCAAAGCGAGCAGGCUUACGAAUCUCUCUUCUUGGCCUCCUAUAUGCAAUUGAAUCUUGUUGCUGUAGAAGUUCUUGGGUCGAAACUUCUUCAUCAUUUGUUCUUUCAAUAUUAGCUGGAUCAUCAUUAACCUUUUCAAACUCCACCUGCUGCAAAGUACUACUGGUUUUGUCAUCCUUUUGUGAAUCCUCGUUCUUCAUCAUGGUUGAUUCAUCAAAAGUUACAUCUCUACUGAAAACAAUCUUCCUUGUAUCAGGACACCAGAGACGGUAUCCUUUUACACCACCAGUUAUACCCAUGAAUAAUGCUUUCUUUGCUCUUGGGUCUAACUUAGAUUCUUUUACAUGAUAAUAUGCAGUGGAACCAAAAACAUGUAAAGAAUCAUAAUCAGUAGCAGGUUUACCAGUCCACAUCUCCAUAGGAGUUUUUCCAUUUAUUGCAGCUGAUGGCAAUCGGUUAAUUAGAUGGCACGCAUAUGUAACUGCCUCAGCCCAAAAUUCCUUGCCCAAUCCAGCAUUGGACAACAUACAUCGAACUUUCUCCAGUAUAGUCCGAUUCAUGCGUUCUGCCACCCCAUUCUGCUGUGGUGUAUCUCGAACAGUGAAGUGUCGCACAAUGCCCUCAUCUUGACAUACUUGUAGAAAUGGAUCGUUUUUGUACUCAGUACCAUUAUCUGAUCGAAGUCGUUUGACCUUUCGACCAGUCUGAGUCUCCACCAUCUUCUUCCAUUUCAGAAAUGCAUCCAAAACUUCACUUUUUCUUUUCAUUAGAUACACCCAUACUUUUCUUGAAUAAUCAUCAAGAAAAGUGACAAAAUAGUGCAUACCUCCCAAAGAAGCCACUUUGGUAGGUCCCCACACAUCACUGUGAACAUAGUCCAGAAUUCCUUUCGUAUUGUGAAUUGCUGAACCAAAUUUUACCCUCGUCUGCUUGCCCAGAACACAAUGUUCACAGAAUUCCAAUUUGCAAGAAUUUGCACCUUUCAACAAGCCUUGCUUCGCCAAAGUCUGCAAAGCUUUUUCACCAGUAUGUCCCAAUCGCAUAUGCCAUAACCUGGUAGCCUCUGAAUCUGCAUCUUUCGCAGAAGCUGUUGAUGUUGAUCCAAUAACUGUACUUCCAUUUAAAUAGUACAAGUUAUUUCUUCUAGUGCCUUUCAUCACCGUCAAUACCCCAGCUACUACCUUUAGUAAUCCAUCUCUCAAAGUGAUUGUGAGCCCUUUAGAUUCUAGGGCCCCUAAUGAGAUGAGAUUUUUCUUCAAGCUGGGUACAUAGCGAACAUCUGUCAGAACUUGGAUUGAGCCGUCAUGGUUCUUCAAUUUGAUUGUACCUACACCCAUUGUCUUACAGGCACUAUCAUUGCCCAUAAAAACAACUCCACCUUCUAGUUCUUCAAGACUAGAAAACCAGUCCUUAUUAGGACACAUAUGGUAAGUACAUCCCGAAUCCAAUAUCCACUCAUCCGUUUGACAUGCCAUUGCCAUGCCAACCAAGCUAAAGUCUGACUCCUCAUCAUGCUCCGCUACACAUGCAUUAGAAAUAGACUUGCCCUUUUGUAACUUAGGACAAUUCUUUUUCCAAUGCCCUUUCUCACGACAAAAGGCACAUUCAUCUUUGGCGGGUCUCCCUUUGGACUUACCCCUUCUACCAGGUUUGCUGCUGUGUGAACGACCUCUUACUGUUAAGACUUCUGCGGUUGUAUCUCUGUGAUCUCUUUUAUCUUUCUUUCGAGUCUCAGAUCUAUACAACGCACUACAGACUGCAUCAAAUGUGAUCGUGUCCUUCCCAUGAAGCAAUGUGGUGGUAAGAUGAUCAUAUUCAUCAGGAAGGGAAUUCAACAAUAAUAAUGCCUUGUCUUCAUCUUCAAAUUUCUCAUCCAAAUUUAGCAAGUCUGCUAAAAUUUUAUUGAAUGAGUUCACAUGGUCAUUCAUCGACAUACCGGGUGCAUACGUGAAUCGAUAAAGUUUCUUUUUCAUAUAAAGCCUAUUUUCAAGACUUUUCGUUAGAAACUUUUCUUCCAGUGUAUCCCAUAACUUCUUCGCUGAUGUCUCCCUCAUGACAGAGUACUUCUGCUCUUUGGCCAAACAUAGGUGGAUUGUACCACACGCCUGUCUAUUGAUCUUGGCCCACUCCUUGUCAUCCAUCUUGUCAGGUUUUUCUUCAAGGGCUAUAUCCAGCUCUUGCUGACAUAAGACAUCCAGGAUCUCACAUUGCCACAUACCAAAAUUAUUGGUACCGUCAAAUUUCUCUACUUCAAAUUUUGCAUUUGUCACAGUAGUCCUUGCUGAUGACGAUGCUGCUGCCAUUUUUCUUCUCAAUCCCAACUACUGUAUACGUGAACAGUACCGUAUACGUGAAUAGUUUCGUAUACGUGAAUAGUACUGUAUACGUGAAUAGUGCCGUAUACGUGAAUAGUACCGUAAACGGUCGUAUUCCCCAAGUACGAACCUUGCUCUGAUACCAAUUGUUGCGCGGAAGCGUGUGAAAGAGUAAAAUUAUUGUACUAAAAAAUCACACUAAGUUCAAUUCCCAGGAAAGAGAGGUGGAUCACGAGGAUCACUUAAGUACCAAGUCUUUCCUAGCCAGAAUAUCACUCUAUCGUAAUUUAAUAGCACAAUAAAUCACUACAAUCAAAUUCACAAAAUAUGAACAAUAAAUAGUAAAGAACACCAGAAUUUUAACGAGGUUCGGCAAAUCUUGCCUACGUCCUCGGGCACUACCAAAUAUAUUUCACUCCAAAAAUACAAGUGAAACUUUACAAAUAGGGAGAGAGAACAAUGCCUUAAGUAGAGAAUGGCAAAUGUGGGAUGAUGAGAAUGAGCA